rnacentral:miRNA from 14 species
UCCUCCUCCUCUUCCUCUUCCUCUUCCUCUUCCUCCUCCUCCUCCUCCUCCUCAGAAUUCUCUGAAUUCUGAAGGGAAGGCUUAUAUGGAAAUAUUCAAGUGUGGGCCACUAUUUUUUUUCCAAUCAAUGACAGGAAAAAGCUUCUAUGAUAUUUUCU